AGUGUGUUAAAGUUAUUCUGAUAUUGACUGUAGUUCUGAGCUUUGUCUCUAUCCCACCAAACCACUAACUUCUGGAAAUUACUUGUAGACCAAGAUGGGAGGACUCCGUGUGUGGCUCCGUCCUCUGGCUGUCACUCAGACUCCCUUGUGAGUUCCUUGAAGGUGUGGGCAUGUCUCGUUCAUCCUUGGCUCCCCAGUGCCUAGUCCAGCACCCGAAGCAUAGUAAGAUUUCAAUAAAUGUCUGCUCUCUUCAUGUGACAAAGAAACUUCCUAAAAUACUAAAAGCUAAAGGAGAUUGUUAUCUAAGCUUGAGAUGGAAGGUUGCCAGCGGAAACUUGGAGGAUCACAGCCAGUCGCCUGGGAUUGACCACAGGGAGUGGCAGAGGCAGAAAGCAAAAGACCAGUUGCAAUUAUCCAGAAUCCUGAAUUGAGCCUGUGUUCCCAGUUCCUAGAAACCCUCAAGGUUAUUGGUUUCCUCCUCGCUUAAUAGACCAGUGGAAGAAAUCUACCUCCAGUUCUAUCUUCACAUGAGCAACUGUUUACAGUUUACAAUAUUACUCUGAAAAUCAGUUCUUUUCAAGUUUUAUCUAACACCCACCAGAAGAAACAGAAGAUUAUGAAAAUGGAAUUUGUCAAAGUUCCUCUCCCAACAAUAUGAUAUUUAAUUUUGCUAACAUUUUUUUUUGAACACUUACUAUAUUGCAGACAAUGGUCUAAGUAAAGCAUUUUAUGUGCAUCCUAUCAUGUCAUCAUCACACAGCCCUGUGAGGUAGAUACUAUUAUUAUUAACCACAUUUCACAUUCAAAAAAACUGAGGCUUAGAGAGACUAAGUAAAUUGUCCAAGGUCACACAGCCAUGAAGUGGCAGAGCUGUGGUUAAAACCUAUGUCUGUCUGAUGUUUAAGAUUUUGCUGUUAGCAUUACUUUGAAAUGACAAUAUGAGGGCAUUUUAUGUAUUUUUUUUGCCCCAAUAUGAUCUGCAGAAACUAUGUAUUUUAAGUACUACAUUUCUUUUAUUUACCAAAUUAUUGUCAGAUAAGAAACCGAAAUAAAAGUUUACAGGGUCUAGGAUUCCUCCAUAA
rnacentral:lncRNA from 1 species